UACAUACAAAAAAAAAAAAAAAAAUUUUUUGAGUUUCAAAAGUAUUUUAAAAUUCAAAUUAUUUUCGAAUAUGUUAAAAUCUAACAAGUUUUCUGGAUUUUGAAGAUAUCAUUAAUAUUAAAUACUUAUGUGAUGUUUCCUUAUUUUUUUAUGUUUAUGGUUUUUAAUUAAUCAUUAUUGUCUUAUUUAAUUACUGAAGAAAUAUAAUUAGCAUAUGGUUAAGAGAACUAUAUAAAAUAAAGGUUUUCUCACACCUACUAGUGAUGGGGUGACUUGGGACAGGAGACUUGAGGUGAAAUGGGAUAUUGUUCAAUUUUAUCAGUUGUUUAAUUUGUUAUAUUCUAAUUUUUUCAAUCAAUUGUUUUUGUAAAAAAACAAGUUAGCAGAAAAUUAUGCUUAUGACAAGAUUUCUAUGUUUACUUUAUGUUAAUAUGUUUUUAUCUUACAAAAAAUAGUUAUAUAGGAUUUCUUUGAAACUUUAUCCUGGUUGUUAAAGACAUCUUUCACAAUGCCAAGAAAGUACAAACGAGUGACAAAUUGGUUAAAGCCUGAUGCUCAUACAAUAAAAACCGCUGUAAUGGCUAUUGAAUCUGGGAAUUUAUCACUACGAGCAGCUGCACUGGAAUAUAAAAAUUCAAAAUUAAGUUUACUGUGGAAAAUAAAGAUUAAUAAAGAAACUUUCUUUAAAUGAGUUAUACUUUGAUGAACAACAUAAAUAUAUUUUUAAUAAGGCGCAAGAAGGUGAAUUUCCAACAUAUCUUCGUCAAUCUGAUAUACAUUAUGGAAUAAAUGUUAGAGAAACAAAGCAACUUGCGUAUCAAUAUGCAAUUAAAAAUGACAUUAAAAUACCAGAAAACUGGAAAAAGAGUGAAACAGCUGGAACUUUAUAGUUUUUUUAUUCUUAAAUUGUACAAAAUCAUCUAUUCGUAUGCUAGAAGCUACCAGCCUUAAUAGAACGACUAGUUUCAAUCGCACCAAUGCAGAUACUUUCUUCAAAAACUUUGACAUUGUACAGAAGCGCUAUAAGUUUUCUGCUGAUUGUAUUUACAAUAUUGAUGAAACAGCUCUUUAAACUGUUCAUAAUUCCAGUAAAUGUGGUUGCGGGUAAAGGAGUAAAGCAAAUAGGACAGGUAACUUCUGCUGAAAGGGAAACCCUAGUUACAAUGGUAGGUUGUAUAAAUGCCCUUGAAAAUUCUAUUUCACCGUUUUUGAUAUUUCCCCGUGUCCACUUUCGUAGCUACAUGCUUAAAGGUGGACCAACAGGUCCCAAAGGUGAUGUUAAUCCUAGUGGAUAGAUAAAUACAGAAAUAUUUUUAAAAUGGUUUGAUUAUUUUGUGCAGCAUGGACAUCCUAGCCAGCAUCAUCCAUUACUUUUAAUAAUGGACAACCGCAAAAGUCAUAUAUUGAUUGAAUUGAUGAAUAAAGCUAAGGAAAGUAAUGUUGUGUCACCCCAUUGCAGUCACAAACUCCAACUACUUGACAGAUCAGUAUUUGGACCAUUAAAGAAAUUUUACAGUAUAGCAUGUGAUUCAUGGUUAAAGGCACAUCCAAAUACUCCUAUUAUAAUAUAUGACAUUUCUGAAAAUUUAGGAUUAGCUUAAGUGAGAGCCUUUACUUCCCAAAACAUUCAAAAUGGUUUUAAGGCAGCUGACAUUUUCCUGUUCAAUCCAUAUGUUUUCAGUGAUGUAAACUUUUUAUGUUCUUAUGUAUCUGAUCAACCAAUUACAGCAAAUAUCUCUACCUUAUCAGCCAGUUUGUCCAGCAGUAUUUCUCAACCGGUUCAAAAAACGAUUUUUGUCAGUAUAGUUAAUGUAUACAAUCAGACAGACCCUGCAACUAAGGCUUACAAUUUAAGUAAAUUAUCUGAUUUGCAAACGCAAACAAUCCCUACACCACUAUCUAUUGUAUCUGAAGUUAUUAAUGACAAGAAACAGCAAAUAAACACUUCUGCCUACCAUUGGACAGCAGAAGAUAUAAGGCCAUUUCCUAAAGCGGGUGAGAGGGCGACAAAGAGAAAAAG